UGGGAUCACUUACGAGCUAGAUGUUGGAAGGUGUUACUACAACUCUUCGAGAUGUCCAAGUUUGUUACUCCUCUUUUUGCAUGCAUGCCUUAAUGUCUCAAGCCCAAGACCAAUUUGCUCUGCCCAUAAUGACCUGAAUUUUACCCAAUGUUUCGAUCGAUUUUCAUUUGUCAGGAAGAUCAUUUUAAGCAUGUUGAAAAAGAGACAAAUCCUAGUCGGGCAUUCACUAGCUAGAGAAUAAACUUGUUGGCACCUAUCACAAUUUGGUAAUUGAUACGGCAGUACUCUAACAAGCCCCCGCCUGGUUAAUCAUACAAGCCCGCUCUAAGGAUACUUGCCUGGAGAUUUCUCUCCAAGGAGAUGAAACAGUCAGGGAAUGGACAUUGAUAGUAUUGAAGAUGCGCAAGAUCGGCUGUGGAACUAUCUCUAUUAAAAAUUAGACAUGGACCUGAAUUUGGUACCUCUCCUUCAUUCAUGCGCCAGAAGCUUCUUUCGGUUCUGAGCGACUCGGGCAAGAAUUCCUCAUUCGUCGACGAGAUUUCAACCGUGAAGAAAUAUUCCUCAGGGUCAUCACAUUCCUUUCCCCUGUGCUCUCAUGAUGAAGAACUUGUCAAUGGAGGUGAAAAAUAAUGAAUGGGUACACUGUGUCUGGAUCCAGUUCUCCGAACUGAAUUGAUACUUAGAGAACCAAGCAAAGGAUUAAGAGGAGUUGAAUGGGAGACUUGCGGAAAUGGUGUAUUUGCUAACAUGCCCGAAGAAUUCCUCAAAAAGAAAAGAUGCCAAAUGCAAACCUGAACUAUAGGAAGUACUAUCAUGGAUUGACUCGAGAAUCCGCAGCCCGUACGCAGCUUUUCCCAUGAAUACUAUGCUAACAAUCUGUACAGUCCACGGAGACACGCCUAUUGUUUGCUGGUAAUGCGAUUACUCUGACCUCACGCCAAAAUUCCCUCUAUGUGCCUUUUCUUUUGAAAUCCCAAAUCAAAAUUCAUUCUAUGCUGUGAAGAUUGAGGAAGCUGCUGAAUGAUGAGACAGAGACGACAGUAAGGCCGAGAGGCUAUUGUAAAGGUGUCGCAAGAGCUCCAGGCCUGGGCUGAGGUAGCUCUAUGUUUCGUCGGUGUUAAGCAUUGACAUAAGAUGACUUCCUUCUCAUUGCCUGUGAUAUACUACAACCUCGCGUACGCAUUUGGUUGUAGAAAAAGGAUAAUCAAAUGUAACUUAGGUUUUCUGAGCAUGUCAAAUGAGAAACGGAGAUGCCAGUAUAAGAUUAUGUUGAUGGAUCCGGAGCAGAAGUUGCAACACUUUUGGAUCUUUUCUGACAAUAGUUUAGUUUAUCCUUUGAGGUGAAUAUAUUUCGUGAAACACAAUUUGAUCGGCUCUCACAUUCACUUC